UGCUUUCCUACGGCCGUUAGGUCUCCUGAGGAGAAAGGUAAACUCACAGAUGGGUUUGCCUUGCUGACAGGCUUCAUGCUGUAGGAUAAACAGGUUGCAGAUUCACAUAAAUUUCAAGGAGUCGAAACUUGAAUCCACCUGUCACAGGGCAAAUGGACCCCAGAUAAGUACUCUGUCAUGUUGAUCCACAACCCAAGCCUCCCUGCCUACUGCCUGCUCCUAAAGGGAAAUCUCAAAAGGAGACCACCUACCCAGGGAUGGUACCACCCUCAGUGAGCUGUGUCCUUCCCACACCAAUCAUUAACCAAGAAGAUGCCCCACAGAACUGUCUACAGGCCAAUCUUAAGGAGACAUCUUCUCAACUAAGCUUCCUCUUCUCAGAUGACCCUAACUCAUGCCAAGCUGACAAAGAACCAACACAGGUAUGUAGCCUCUGAUGAGGAGAAGUCUGGUGGCCAGUCUGGGGGAAACUAGGUCUGAAGGAGUUGGGGACUAGCAGAACUCCAAAGAGAGAGCAUGGGGAUAGCUUGGUGCCCCCAGAUCUGAAAAGUUCUGAAGCUUUUGUUGAGUUAA